CUUGAUUAAAACCCCUGCUGUCCCAGUCUGGAAACCCCUUGCAAGGGACACCGUAUAAAUUUGGUGACUUUUCAAUAAAGCCCUCAGUUGACUCCCAGACUAUGUGUUGUCUAGUCAUUGGGAAAGGGAUUAUACUACCCUACCUGUGUUAUGGAUGCUGAAUCUUGGUUACCAGCGGAGGGAUCGUGCCUUACCCCUUGCUACUCCGCUACACAGAUCAAUGUAUUUCACAG